GUGCCAGCCGCGCGGUAAUACCGGCAGCUCAAGUGAUGUCCCAUCUUAUUGGGCCUAAAGCGUCCGUAGCUGGCCGACCAAGUCUCCCGGGAAAUCCACCCGCCCAACGGGUGGGCGUCCGGUGGAAACUGGCCGGCUUGGAACCGGAAGGCUCAGAGAGUACGUCCGGGGUAGGAGUGAAAUCCCGUAAUCCCGGACGGACUACCGAUGGCGAAAGCACUCGGAGAAGACGGCUUCGACAGUGAGGGACGAAAGCCAGGGUCUCCAACCGGAUUAGAAACCCCUGUAGUCC
rnacentral:rRNA from 1 species